UACGUAGGGUGCGAGCGUUAAUCGGAAUUACUGGGCGUAAAGCGUGCGCAGGCGGUUGUGCAAGACAGAUGUGAAAUCCCCGGGCUUAACCUGGGAAUUGCAUUUGUGACUGCACGGCUAGAGUGUGUCAGAGGGGGGUAGAAUUCCACGUGUAGCAGUGAAAUGCGUAGAUAUGUGGAGGAAUACCGAUGGCGAAGGCAGCCCCCUGGGAUAACACUGACGCUCAUGCACGAAAGCGUGGGGAGCAA
rnacentral:rRNA from 1 species